AGAAAGUUACCGAACAUUACAAGAUCCUUCAGAAUGCCUCCUGGAAGGUNNNNNNNNNNNNNNNNNNNNNNNAAGAACAUUACAAAGACCCAUUUCUUCAUUUAUUAUUUAUUCAAGAACAUUCAAUCUUCAGCUUGAAAAAGAGGUACAAUUUUACCCACUUUUCUCGUUCUUGAUCAUUGAAGAACAAAAAAAACCUUAAUUGUGCAAAAAAUGUCAUGUCCCAAGAUCAUGUUUGGUACCAAUAUUUUAAAACAACAGUUUUUGGAAUUUUCAUUCCAACAUAUUUGCCCUAUCUAGUUUAUAAUCAAUACUUGUUGGGAACGAUGAUGGGCUUCGAUAAAACUUUUAAUCUUAUGUUUCGAUAAAAAGUGAUUCGAUGUCUUGAUGCCCAAAACAUACUGGAUAAAUUACUUAAUGACCCUGGUCCCUGAAUGUGAAAGCUAGUGGUUGCCUUAAUUGCUACUGAAGCAAUUGUCUAUAUCGGUGUCCGCUUUUCUAUUAAAAAANNNNNNNNNNNNNNNNNNNNNNNNNNNNNNNNNNNNNNNNUGGAUGCCUCAAUGACCUUUGAGAAAAAUGCAUUAUGAAUUCUUUAUUCAUAAUGAAAAAGUUGGAUGGUGGCUUUCAAAGGAAAGAAAUUUAAUAUGAAAAUUUUAUUCAAAACGUGAUGGUGUCUAUUGCCUUUUUAUGACCCUAAUUGUGAAAUUGUCACUAGUGGUAUUGUAUAUAAAGUUGGAUAUACUUUGUUCCAUGAUUUUUAUAAGGAAUUGUCUUGGUGGCCCAAAAAUGCUGGAUGAUGCCAUAUUGUGAAAGCAUUGUUGCCUUAAAUGCAAUUUUAAUGUAAAAUUUCAUUCAUAUUAUAAUGCAAGGAUAAUAUCUAUUGUGCUUUGAUGACCUUACUGAUAAGGGUUUCAAAGGAAUUCUCUUGAACAAAGUACAAAGAAACCAACUCUUUGGAGUAUAAACUAUUACUUAUAAUAUCGACUUGGUAUGUCUGGCAUUAUGCAGACAACCUAUGGCAUAUAAGGAUGCUUGCAUUGUGAUCAAUGGAGGAAACCAUAAUGAGGUUGUAUCUGAAAAAAUUCAGUAGGUGUUGGCAUAAUAGUACUAGAUGUAUGUGUUAUCAUUCUUGAUCAUUCAAUAAGAUUCAAUCUUUUGCUUGAUAAAUACAAAAGCUUUUGUUGCUGAGCAUAGCAGUGUUUAGGUUCAGCAUGCUAAUAAGGUGGUUAAUUGCCAAGGUUCAACAGUGAUUUGGAAAUCGAAAUCUCAUGGAACUGUUCUUGGAGGACUGUAACUGAAGUUGAAAUCAUGUUGUUGGGUGGUAAAGGGAAGGUUCAUCAUUCAGAUGCGGCUUCAUGCACGAAUCAGAACAACCUUUUGAAAAUGAAAAGUCAGAUCAACAGGUAUAUGAUUCCCAUCUCAGUUUCUUAUGUUUUGAUUUCAUGAGUGGAUGUAUCAAUUUUCCUAGUUUAUAUAUUUUGGAACUUUCAAUCCAAUAUAUUUUCAUCGAUACAAGUUGAGAUACAUAUUUUAAAUUUUGUCAAGAACAUUCAUUGUGUGACGAAAUCAUUUUUCAUUAUCUAAAAAAGGGUGGAGUAUAUUGCUCUAGUAACCCUAAAUUUGACCAUUGGAAUCGAUGAAUAUACUAUGUUUUAUAAAUUUUGUAACUGAUGGAUCAUAGAUGCCUCAAUGACUAUAGAGUAAAAUUUUGGAUGAACUUAAUGACCCUAGUCCCUAAAUGUGAAAACUAGUUGUUGUCUUAAUUGCUACCCAAGUAAUUGUCCCUAUCAGUGUCCGCUUUUCUAUAAAAAAAAAUUAUGAAUUUUUAUUCAUAAUAUUGCAUGAAUGAGUAUAUAUUCUGCUUUGAUGAUCCGUAGUCCCUAAAUUCAAUCAUCUGCUUGAAAAAAGGUACAACUUCUGCAAAAAAGGUAUAACUUUACCCAUUUUUCUCAUUCUUGAUCAUUCAUAAUAAUGCAUGAAUGGGUAUACAUUUUGCUUUGAUGACUCUUAGUCCCUAAAUUCAAUUCUAUAACUGCUUAUGAACAACAUUCAAUCUUCUGCUUCAUAAAAACAAAACAAAAGAUAUUGAGCAAAGGUGUUCUUUCUGUCCUAUGACCCUUUUGUUUGUUUCGUAUCAAUAACUUUUUCGUUUGGUACGGUAAAUUUUGGAAUUUUCAUUUCACUAUAUUUGCAUUCAUGAAUCAUACAUAUUGAGAUACCCAUUUUUUCAUUUUCUUUGUCAAGAACAUUCAAUCUGCUGCUUGAAAAAUGGUACAACUUUACCCCAUUUUUCGCAUUCUCGAUCAUUCAAAAACAUUCAAUCUUCUGCUUGAGAAAAACAAAAAGAACCUUAAUUGUGCAAAACGUGUUCUAUCCCAAGAUCAUGUU
rnacentral:lncRNA from 1 species